UACAGAGGGGGCAAGCGUUGUUCGGAAUUACUGGGCGUAAAGGGCGCGUAGGCGGCCUUCUAAGUCGAACGUGAAAUCCCCGGGCUCAACCCGGGAACUGCGUCCGAUACUGGAUGGCUUGAGUUUGGGAGAGGGACGCGGAAUUCCAGGUGUAGCGGUGAAAUGCGUAGAUAUCUGGAGGAACACCGGUGGCGAAGGCGGCGUCCUGGACCAACACUGACACUGAUGAGCGAAAGCCAGGGGAGCAAACGGG
rnacentral:rRNA from 1 species